CGUAGUUGGAUUUCUGGUCUAAUGCGCCUGGCCCGCUGCCGUUAGGUAUGUGAGUGCCGGUGCGCGUUUACCAUCCUUCCAGAGAACACUUCUACCAUUUAUUUGGACGGAUGUUGUCUUCUGGAUCUUUUACUUUGAAAAAAUUAGAGUGUUUAAAGCAGGCCUUUGCUGUGAAUACAUUAGCAUGGAAUAAUAAUCUAGGACUUCGGUUCUAUUUUGUUGGUUUCUAGUACUGAAGUAAUGA
rnacentral:rRNA from 1 species